UACGGAGGGUGCGAGCGUUGUCCGGAAUCACUGGGCGUAAAGGGCGCGUAGGCGGCCUGAUAAGUAGGGGGGUGAAAUCCUGCGGCUUAACCGCAGGGCUGCCUUCUAAACUGUCAGGCUAGAGCACAGUAGAGGCAGGUGGAAUUCCCGGUGUAGCGGUGGAAUGCGUAGAGAUCGGGAAGAACAUCAGUGGCGAAGGCAGCUCGCUGGGACGUUACUGACGCUGAGACGCGAAAGCGUGGGGAGCAAACAGG
rnacentral:rRNA from 1 species